rnacentral:tRNA from 5 species
UCGCCUGUAGCUCAGAGGAAAGAGCAACCGCCUUCUAAGCGGUUGGUCGCUGGUUCGAAUCCAGCCAGACGAGCCA